rnacentral:rRNA from 1 species
UACGAAGGGUGCAAGCGUUACUCGGAAUUACUGGGCGUAAAGCGUGCGUAGGUGGUGAGUUAAGUCUGUCGUGAAAGCCCCGGGCUCAACCUGGGAAUGGCGAUGGAUACUGGCUCGCUAGAGUGCGGUAGAGGAGAGUGGAAUUCCCGGUGUAGCAGUGAAAUGCGUAGAGAUCGGGAGGAACACCAAUGGCGAAGGCAGCUCGCUGGGACGGUACUGACGCUGAGACGCGAAAGCGUGGGGAGCAAACAGG